rnacentral:tRNA from 1 species
CAGGGUGUAGCACAGCUGGUAGCGCGCUUGGUUUGGGACCAAGAGGACGUAGGUUCGAAUCCUACCACCCUGA